rnacentral:rRNA from 1 species
UACGGAGGGUCCAAGCGUUAUCCGGAAUCAUUGGGUUUAAAGGGUCCGUAGGCGGUUUUGUAAGUCAGUGGUGAAAGCCCAUCGCUCAACGGUGGAACGGCCAUUGAUACUGCAAGACUUGAAUUAUUGGGAAGUAACUAGAAUAUGUAGUGUAGCGGUGAAAUGCUUAGAGAUUACAUGGAAUACCAAUUGCGAAGGCAGGUUACUACCAAUAUAUUGACGCUGAUGGACGAAAGCGUGGGGAGCAAAACGG